GAUGAACGCUGGCGGCGUGCCUAAUACAUGCAGGUCGAGCGAACAGAUGAGGAGCUUGCUCCUCUGACGUUAGCGGCGGACGGGUGAGUAACACGUGGAUAACCUACCUAUAAGACUGGGAUAACUUCGGGAAACCGGAGCUAAUACCGGAUAAUAUAUUGAACCGCAUGGUUCAAUAGUGAAAGACGGUUUUGCUGUCACUUAUAGAUGGAUCCGCGCCGCAUUAGCUAGUUGGUAAGGUAACGGCUUACCAAGGCAACGAUGCGUAGCCGACCUGAGGGGGUGAUCGGCCACACUGGAACUGAGACACGGUCCAGACUCCUACGGGAGGCAGCAGUAGGGAAUCUUCCGCAAUGGGCGAAAGCCUGACGGAGCAACGCCGCGUGAGUGAUGAAGGUCUUCGGAUCGUAAAACUCUGUUAUUAGUGAAGAACAAAUGUGUAAGUAACUGUGCACGUCUUGACGGUACCUAAUCAGAAAGCCACGGCUAACUACGUG
rnacentral:rRNA from 1 species